rnacentral:rRNA from 1 species
CUACGGGAGGCUGCAGUGGGGAAUAUUGGACAAUGGGCGAAAGCCUGAUCCAGCCAUGCCGCGUGUGUGAAGAAGGCCUUCGGGUUGUAAAGCACUUUCAGUGGGGAAGAAAGCCUUGGGGCUAAUACCCUCGAGGAAGGACAUCACCCACAGAAGAAGCACCGGCUAACUCCGUGCCAGCAGCCGCGGUAAUACGGAGGGUGCGAGCGUUGAAUCGGAAUUACUGGGCGUAAAGCGCGCGUAGGCGGUCUGAUAAGCCGGUUGUGAAAGCCCCGGGCUCAACCUGGGAACGGCAUCCGGAACUGUCAGGCUAGAGUGCAGGAGAGGAAGGUAGAAUUCCCGGUGUAGCGGUGAAAUGCGUAGAGAUCGGGAGGAAUACCAGUGGCGAAGGCGGCCUUCUGGACUGACACUGACGCUGAGGUGCGAAAGCGUGGGUAGCAAACAGGAUUAGAUACCCGUGUAGUC